ACGGGAGGCAGCAGUGAGGAAUAUUGGUCAAUGGACGAGAGUCUGAACCAGCCAAGUAGCGUGCAGGAUGACGGCCCUAUGGGUUGUAAACUGCUUUUGUACGGGAAUAAAGUGACCUACGUGUAGGUUUUUGCAUGUACCGUAAGAAUAAGGACCGGCUAAUUCCGUGCCAGCAGCCGCGGUAAUACGGAAGAUGCGAGCGUUAUCCGGAUUUAUUGGGUUUAAAGGGAGCGUAGGCGGCCUUUUAAGUCAGCGGUCAAAUGUCAGCGCCCAACGCUGGCCUGCCGUUGAUACUGAUGGGCUUGAAUACACACAAGGAAGGUGGAAUUCGUCGUGUAGCGGUGAAAUGCUUAGAUAUGACGAAGAACUCCGAUUGCGAAGGCAGCCUUCUGGAGUGCGAUUGACGCUGAGGCUCGAAAGCGCGGGUAUCAAACAGGAUUAGAUACCCUGGUA
rnacentral:rRNA from 1 species